GACGAACGCUGGCGACGUGCUUAACACAUGCAAGUCGAGCGGUAAGGCUCCUUCGGGAGUACACGAGCGGCGAACGGGUGAGUAACACGUGAGCAAUCUGCCCUUCACACGGGGAUAACCCUCGGAAACGAGAGCUAAUACCCGAUACGACCACUUCAGGCAUCUGAUGGUGGUGGAAAGUUCCGGCGGUGAAGGAUGAGCUCGCGGCCUAUCAGCUUGUUGGUGGGGUAACGGCCCACCAAGGCAACGACGGGUAGCCGGCCUGAGAGGGUGACCGGCCACACUGGGACUGGGACACGGCCCAGACUCCUACGGGAGGCAGCAGUGGGGAAUAUUGGACAAUGGGCGAAAGCCUGAUCCAGCAACGCCGCGUGAGGGAUGACGGCCUUCGGGUUGUAAACCUCUUUCAGCAGGGACGAAGCGCAAGUGACGGUACCUGCAGAAGAAGCACCGGCCAACUACGUGCCAGCCGCCGCCGUAA
rnacentral:rRNA from 1 species